rnacentral:lncRNA from 1 species
UAAUUAGUAACAAAGUUAACAAAUUGACAAAUCAAAUCAGAUAAACAAUCAAACAAACAAACCGUAACAUAGUAAGCGCAAUGAAAUUAAGUUAAAUUGAUAACAUAAGCAACUAAAAAUUAACACUUAGAAAAGGGGAGAGACAAAAUAGAAUACCGCCCCCCCCAGAUCAUAUAUGCCUCGGUCAUGUCCAGAGACAGUUCCAGGCCUCCAGCCGAGAUGGGACUGUGUUUGCUGCCACUGAGACCAGGUUGGGGCCUUUGGGACUUCCUUGAUGCAGAUCUUGUACAUCACCACUGCCGGACCCAUCGUAGUUACUGUGCUCUCCUUUAGCUGGUUCCGAACUCUUCAUCCACAUUGGGACCAGGGUGUGAUGACCAGCUUGCUGUUAUCAGCGUGGGAGCCUGUAGUCCUGAGUUUCGAGGAGCAAAGCACAGCACAGAACGGAGGGUGGAAACAAGCGGCAAGCAGAAGGCUCCAGGAAGUGGGAAACCUCAGCAAGCCCCACUCCAGAAAGUGGGGAAGCCCCAGCAAGAGAGACACCAGGAGGCUCCAGUGGAAGCAACAGCCAGGCAGGAUGUUGGAUGAAGGCCUAAGAACUCAUUCAGAAAAACAGGCUUGAUGUCUACAUGAAAGCAGUGCACUUUCAAGACUGAUUUGUCUUGCAUCAUACAGAUUGUUAUGAUGGCAAAAAUUGGGAAGUAUCCUGCAAAACUGUUUGUAUGUAGAAGAUGCCAGUUAUGUGUGUAGCUGUGUGAUCAGCACCUUGCAAAUGUGACUGUCACAACUUCUUUUCCACACACAGACAAUCCAACAGAUUCUGUGGCUAUUUUAUUUAGCUGACUUACAGUGUCAGAAAUUCAAUUAAUCACAUACUGACUUGUCAGCUGAACACUGGUGCAUGGAUCUUUUGCUCAGGCAAGGAAGCACUAUCAAGGAGAAUCUCUGCACGCGUCUCCUAAGCCUAACAUCUCCCUUGUGCUGAUUCCAGCAGUCCUACAUUUUGCAGAAAUCUUCCAAGUCAGCAAGAUAUUGAGGAAAUUACCCACAGUCACAGCAUACAGAAUGCCUCUCAUCUCUGCACAGAGGCUUGGAAACAGACACUCUGAAAGCAGUCAAGACUUCUUGGUCAUUUCUGAAAGGGCAUCCAGACGGGCAUAUAGUUCACUACUUAGAUUAUUUUUGGAGAGGUUUGGUUAGAAUAAAAUUAGUGUCCAUACGUGUUUUGACUUAUGA